AACGAACGCUGGCGGCAUGCCUAACACAUGCAAGUCGAACGAGACCUUCGGGUCUAGUGGCGCACGGGUGCGUAACGCGUGGGAACCUGCCUUUAGGUUCGGAAUAACUCAGAGAAAUUUGAGCUAAUACCGGAUGAUGUCUUCGGACCAAAGAUUUAUCGCCUUUAGAUGGGCCCGCGUUGGAUUAGCUAGUUGGUGGGGUAAAGGCCUACCAAGGCGACGAUCCAUAGCUGGUCUAAGAGGAUGUUCAGCCACACUGGGACUGAGACACGGCCCAGACUCCUACGGGAGGCAGCAGUGGGGAAUAUUGGACAAUGGGCGAAAGCCUGAUCCAGCAAUGCCGCGUGAGUGAUGAAGGCUUAGGGGUGUAAAGCUCUUUUACCCGAGAUGAUAAUGACAGUAUCGGGAGAAUAAGCACCGGCUAACUCCGUG
rnacentral:rRNA from 1 species